CGUGUAGGCGGCCAGAUCAGUCAGAUGUGAAAUCCCAGGGCUCAACCCUGGAACUGCAUUUGAAACUGUUUGGCUAGAGUUCAGAAGAGGAGAGUGGAAUUCCUAGUGUAGCGGUGAAAUGCAUAGAUAUUAGGAAGAACAUCAAUGGCGAAGGCAGCUCUCUGGUCUGACACUGACGCUGAGACGCGAAAGCGUGGGUAGCAAACAGGAUUAGAUACCCUGGUAGUCC
rnacentral:rRNA from 1 species